CCACCCUUCUUUCUCCUGGCUGCGUGCUCUGACACCCUUCCUUCCUAUUUAGGUCAGCAGUUUGCCCCGCCUAGGUGACAGGCACUGCUGGGUGCCGAGGACACUGAGAACAUGACGAUGUUUUUGUCACAUGUCAGGCAAUGAAAGCUGUGUGGGUUUGGGGAGUGGUGGCUUCAAGGAGGAGAAGACACUUUUAAUGGGAAAAGUCUGGAUAUCUGGAAACCCUGCCUGUAUUGUGUGAGACCAGAAGGCAGUGCAGUGGAAACCACCUGCCUGCCUGCUUUGUGUGGGUUCUACCGCUGCGUGAGGCUGUACGUGCGUGUGCAUGUGUGUUGGAGGGGUAGUGUGUGUGUGUGUGUGUGUGUGUGUGGGUGUGUGGUGGUCGCUUUCUCAGGUCCAUGCCUCCACGGCAGAGGCUGUCGGGAGGCAGUUGCAUCUGUGGACUGGUGGUGUCCUGCUGUGUCACACGUUGUAGGAACAUACUCUUGAGCUCACAGUCGGUGGUGUUGGAGAUCGUAGCACCAUUUACUUCUUCCAGGCUUUCCAGGAAUUCUGAGGACAUCUAACGUGCUGAAGUAAUCCUUCCUGCUUGAGAUGCUCAGAGCAGGCCCUACUUCCUGUCUUGAACCCCAGCGUACCACGCCAUCCACAUCUGAUGGCAGAGGAUCCCCUGAACCCUGCACCGAAUCAGAAACACUGACCCGAAGGAGGAAUGGGAGUGUGCUGUGAGGGCGAGGUUUGUCGGCAAGCAUCAAGCGCUGCAGCAAAAGUAGACAGGAUUGGGAUGCAGGCGGGGGAGACGCGGGGAUGUGAAAGUCACCUGGGCGCACACUGCCUGUUUGGGGGCGGAAACCAAACUGCAGACAGGAACAGCAGAGGGAAGCUGGAGAUCCUCUCCGAGAGGCUCCCGGAGCAGUGAGCGCCUUCGCCUGGGAGGUGGGUGGGCCGUCGGAGCCAGUGUUCCAUUGGGAGGCAGAAGUGGAAAUCAGCAUACAACUUGUCACAGACUAAGACUAUUUCGUCAUAAGAAUUUGAAACUGAAAUAGCCUUAGACGUGCAUAAAGUAUGAAUGUAACUUCAACCCCCCUUACAACUGGCAUCUUUCUUUUGUACGGGAAAUGAAUAUAAAUUUUCCAGCCUUGAGUCUCCCUGGUACUUUUGGGCAACAGUCACUUUUUCAAGAAAUCAACCUUUAUGCCUUGGAAGUUUGAGUUCAUAGCAAAAGUGAGACAAAGGCACAGCUCUUUCCCACUUGCCCCUGCACCUGUCAACACCUGCCACCCGUGAGCGUGCUAGUUCCAACCCAGGGACCUGGGCGACGUGUCACCAUCUGGAGUCCACGGUCUACAUUAGUUUCCAUUCCUCACAGUGCUGGACACUCUGGGUGUGGACAAAUGUUUAGUAGCGCUUGUAAUUAAAUUUUGCAAUCCUUUGUUAGUUCACCUUGCAGGGAUGGACUUUCUGCCUUCCGGAUGGAGGCAGGCAGCUCCCUCGGGCUGUGGUGCGGAGCCGUCCUUUCGGUGGUGGUGCUCCCUCUCCCCUAUGGCCCCAAGCGCUUGCUGUACUUACACCUUCACACUAAGCUCCCGGUCCCCUCAGCACCUACUGACCACUCAGGCAGCUCACAGGCAGGACCCAAAGUAGAGCUGCCUUUGCAGCACACGCAUGGUAUUCAGUGGACAAUGAUUAAUUCCGUCUCUGAGCAAAUAAACAUUAUGGAGGUGUAAUCAAGACACACAUCCACGCUGCAGAUGCCACACUUUCUAUCACGUGCGUGGUCCCCGUGUAUCCUCUAAGUGACUUCCGGGCUCCUGUCCUGCGUGCUCACCCACAUUCCACCUGCCCCCUGCUUGCCUAACCGUCUCGCCAAGGAGGCGGACUGAUGCUGCCUGUUCCCCUGCCUCUGACUUCCCCUGAGUGGCCAGGGUGCUCCCCGCUCACUGCUGAGCAGUGUCCAGUGCUGUUGGAGGCUCAGACCAAGGCGCUGCUGGCCAGCAGGGUGAAGUGUCAGCCCCUGGUCGCGAAGCUGCGCUCCGCGCACUGGGCCGGCACAGCUGGAAUUCCUCCCUCGGAAGCUCGGUAUUACCGAAAAUGUGCUGUUGAGCCUCUUCCUUGCUCUUCUUCUUUCCCAAGGUAAAAAGGGCUUUACAAGUGAGAGGACUUCUAAGGAGUCAGCCAGGAAGAGCCAUCUGUGGUAUGGAACUGGCUUAUGUAAUAAGCAGUCUGCACGCAAGGAGCGCUCCAUUAGAAGCACCACGGGCCGCCCGGGGGGUUUACACUGCUUGUCGCUAUCCGCCUCAGCAGUCCUCACUCGAGCACGCCACCGUCUCUGCUCCGUACACACCAGCUUUUUCCCCAACCAAAGCUGGUUCGCCCCAGGCUUGCCUCUCCUAAGGUGCACUGCUGAGACAGCCCCUCCCCGCCCGGGAGGGAGAGAGCGAUGGGGAGCAGCCCGCGGGGCCUGCACGCAGAGGGGCUAGGUGCUGAUGCGCGCGCUUCCCUCCUACCCGGCUCUGUGAACCCGGACCCCCUGCCGGGAACCCGCUGAGGCUCAGUCCGCCCCGGUGGCCCCCAGCUGGGCUGGACACUUCCCUGACAGGCCAGCGCACGGUCAUCCCCAGCACGCCGUCCAGAACGUGGCCCCACCUUUCUACUUCUAAAAAAUACGAAUUCCUGCUGCUACGUAUGUUCACACUGGAUUUGAAAAGCAACAUCUGAAGAAACAGAAACACAAUCUGCCUCUCUGCCUGCAAGACUGGCAAGGAGCAGAAAUGAACUCUGGACUUCAUGCUUCGGUCCACACAAGCAGCCUCGAAAAGCACGUCAUCCGCUGCCACUGGUGUUGAUGGUGAGGUGUUCACUUCCCCGAGGUUCCCUCCUGAGUGAAUCGGCGGACACGAAGACCAGGGCUCUGCCGCAGGGAGUCCAUGCCAGCGGGCAGUGUCUCUUCUCCAAAUGACUCCUGUGAGAUAUUCUGGACGACAGAUCAGCAGCAGGGUGAAAGAUGGGUCUCACCAUGUUGCUUAAGCUAAUCCUGAACAUGUGGACUCAAGUGACCCUCCCAGCACACUGGUGAGAUGCCUUUUGUAUGGUCUCUCCCAAGAGUCCUCUCUCACGUGCCACACCCAGAGGACUGCGUGAGGAUGAAAUAUUUAAAGGCAGAGAAUGUGCAGGCCAGAGGGAGCCCUGCAGCCCCGAGACACAUCCAUUUCAUCAAGGCACAGGCAGGGUCCUCCGAGACAUUUUUGUGGAUGAGAUGCAGACCUGGAGGACAGCUCAUAGUUGUUAGAUGAUGAGAACUAAGCAACCUGGACCUGACGAUCAGUCUUUGGUAACUGAUAAGACCUUGUGCUCGUUCCCAUUUCCCACGCAUGGCUCCUAAAUCACAUCUGAGUCAUGAUUCAGAUAAGCUGUGGCUGACAUGUUUACCCAACCACACCUCACCACCAUCUGCCAACAACGAGUUCCUGAUGAAUAUUCCAAGAGGGUUCUGCUGGUCUUCCCCACCCUGUCACCCAGCCCUGCCCUGCCUCCACUCCUCGUCUCUCCCGCUGACAUGGGAUAUCACAGCACACUGUACCUUACUCUCCACCUGUCCGGGGGCUCCAGCCUCUGCGAGCAGGAAGAUGGUGAGCGGCCUGCGAGGGUCCUGUGGUGGAGUCUGCACCACGUCCGAUGAGCACCUAGGAGCCUGCAAGACACGGAGGAGGAAAGGGCAGCAGAUGAGACCAUGCCUCUACUGCGACCAGUUCUCUGACCCUGGGCCAGUCUCCAAGCCCGGCUGCCUGGAUCAUAACAUGGGGCUGACACUGUUCUCUCAGAGCUGAUGAGCAUCACGAAUGACUGUAUGGGAACACCCUUAAAUGCCGAGCACUACUGUUAGCAAUAUUUUAUCUCAGUUGUGUUGGCCAAAUCAGGCUCAAUUUUGGCUAUUCAUAAAGGUUUGGACUCUAAAAAUUGUUUCCUGAGUGACUCAGAUGUUUUCUGAAUUUGCUUAUAUUAGCCAAGCAUGUCUUCAGAACUGGGAAAAUGCUUUACGUUUGGCUGUCAUGAUUAAUAAAACUGUGAAUUUUAAA